rnacentral:rRNA from 1 species
GACGGAGGAUGCAAGCGUUAUCCGGAAUGAUUGGGCGUAAAGCGUCCGCAGGCGGCAGUUCAAGUCUGCUGUCAAAGACCGGGGCUUAACUUCGGAAAGGCAGUGGAAACUGAAUAGCUAGAGUAUGGUAGGGGCAGAGGGAAUUCCUGGUGUAGCGGUGAAAUGCGUAGAGAUCAGGAAGAACAUCGGUGGCGAAGGCGCUCUGCUGCACCAUAACUGACACUCAGGGACGAAAGCUAGGGGAGCGAAUGGG